UACAAAGUGUAGAAAAUAUAGUGAUAGAGAGAGAGGCUCUCGGCUACAAGCUGGCCGAGAACACCCUCAUCCAAAUUGCUCCAAAAAUCAGUUUCUUAGGCAAUUUAACUCCCUUAUAGGUGUAUUAACGUGUAGCAUUCAUUGGAAUAGCAAGAACAAGUGUUAAAAUUCAAGAAGUGAAAGUGAAGGGCUAGCCGAUUGAAGUGUUUAGUUACAAGGAUAAGUACUAUUGGGCAACAAGUACAAGUUAUAAUACGACUAAACGCUAAAGGUACAGACGCUCGUUUCGGAGAUCCGCCAGCCUAGGAUAUCUAUUCAGCUACUUUGGAGUGCUCCCUUGUUCCGGAGACUAGCUUGUGGUAUAACUCCCUUUUGUUGUAUAUAUAUGUGUUUAUUCGAGGUACGGCGGGGACCUGUCCCGUCAUAUGAUACGGUCAUUACUCUUAGAGGUCUGUGGACAUUUGUGUGGGUCUGUAUAUAGUUGUUGUUGCAUUGUAUGAAUAUGACUUAUGUUUGGGGCGUACCCAUUCGUAGUGGUAGCCUUGUCGGCUUGCAUAUAUAUAUAUAUGUUUGGGAUGUUGCGUGUAGUGGCAGCCUUGUCGGCUUGCGUAGAUAAAUAUGUUGUAUUUGAAAAUUUUAACUCCUCAGGAGACAGGUGCCUAUGACAUACAGAAUUGU